rnacentral:rRNA from 1 species
GACAGGAGGCCUCGAGCGUUAGGCGGAAUCACUGGGCUUAAAGCGUGUGUAGGCGGGCCCGUAAAGUGUCUUGUGAAAUCCCGCGGCUCAACCGUGGAACUGCUGGGCAUACUGCGGGUCUGGGCCGAACUAGGGGCAGCCGGGAACAAGCGGUGGAGCGGUGAAAUGCGUAGACUAUCGCUGGAACGCCGAAGGUGAAACAGGCUGCUGGG